rnacentral:pre_miRNA from 1 species
UGAACUCAAAUUUGUAUGGAGUUGGAACGUUUGCCUACGUUUGCCGCUAGGGGCGCUGUUCCAACUCCAUACAAACUCGAGUUA